rnacentral:pre_miRNA from 1 species
AAUAAACUAAUUUUUCACUUUUUACUUUUUGACUCUUCAUUUUAUUUAAAAUUUUUUUAUUGAUAUUUUUGUUUUUAUUAGAUGAUAAAUCAUAAAUAGUGCUUUAUGUGUGACUAAUUUUUUUUAAUUUUCUAAAAAAUUUUCAAAUAAGACGAAUGGUCAAAUGUUGGACACGGAAACC